rnacentral:rRNA from 1 species
UAAACCCUACCGGUAAACGGAAAACGAAGUAGUGUACUAAUACCGGAUAACAACAGAUGAUGCCUAUCAACUGUUUAAAAGAUGGUUCUGCUAUCACUCUUGGAUGGACCUGCGGUGCAUUAGCUAGUUGGUAGGGUAACGGCCUACCAAGGCGAUGAUGCAUAGCCGAGUUGAGAGACUGAUCGGCCACAUUGGGACUGAGACACGGCCCAAACUCCUACGGGAGGCAGCAGUU